rnacentral:lncRNA from 1 species
CUGUCUUUGGUUUCAGUUACCUGCCAUCAGUCACAGAUCAAGCAGCUGCUCCUCCUUCUGGCACAGCGUCAUUAGGUCAGUAACAGCCUGAGGAACGUUCGUCACAACUCCAGAGUCAUUCUCCUCACUUCUGGUCACCAGAGAUCUUACUGUCUCAUGGUAUCACAGGAGGAGAGUAACUCAGAACUUGUGACUGGAUGCAAUGGGUAUGGAUUUGGAUGUCGUCUGCACAAGAGAGACCGCUGAAGCCAGAAGACUGACAUGAGAGAACACUUUUCUCAGGUAGGAAGCAUCAGGCAUACUCACAAGGGAACAAGAGUUACAGCAAAUUAAAUGUCUAACCACCUGGGUGGGGGGAGGCUUCUAUUAUUAUUGAGGGAAAAGGAAUUUUUUGAGGGAGAUUUCAA